rnacentral:lncRNA from 1 species
GAGCACCGAAAAGAAAGUGGUCAUGAAAGGAAGUAUCAACAAUUAUCUUAAAUUGGGUCAAGAAGGGAAGUAUCGCGUCUACCACAAUCAAUACUCCACUAAUUCAUUUGCUUUGAAUAAGCACCAGCACAGAGAAGACCAUGAUAAGAGAAGGCAUCUUGCACAUAAGUUCUGUCUGACUCCAGCAGGAGAGUUCAAAUGGAACGGUUCUGUCCAUGGGUCCAAAGUUCUUACCAUAUCUACUCUGAGACUGACUAUCACCCAAUUAGAAAACAACAUCCCUUCAUCCUUUCUUCAUCCCAACCGGGCAUCACAUAGGGCAAACUGGAUCAAGGCAGUUCAGAUGUGUAGCAAACUCAGAGAAUUUGCAUUGGCUUUAGCCAUUUUGGAGUGUGCAGUUAAACCAGUUGUGAUGCUACCAAUAUGGCGAGAAUCUUUAGGACAUACCAGCUUUCUCCCUUUGUCUCAUAACCAUGUCCACCAAUGAGAAUGCUAAUACACAAGCUGCCCAUCUUCACAGAUCUAAGAACAAGGGAAAGGACAGUACAGAAACGAGGCGUCACAGAAUAGAGGUCAAUGUGGAGCUGAGGAAAGCUAAGAAGGAUGACCAGAUGCUGAAGAGGAGAAAUGUAAGCUCAUUUCCUGAUGAUGCUACUUCUCCGCUGCAGGAAAACUGCAACAACCAGGU